UGGUGGAGUGAUUUGUCUGGAAAUAUUUCCGUUAACGAACGAGACCUCGACCUGCUAAAUAGUUUGGCGAAUUCCCUGUGGAUGAAACACAUAUAACUUCUUAGAGGGACUGUCGGUUCGCAAAAAGCCGGUUGAAGUUCGAGGCAAUAACA
rnacentral:rRNA from 1 species